AGAGUUUGAUCCUGGCUCAGAACGAACGCUGGCGGCGUGCUUAACACAUGCAAGUCGAGUGCGCGCUUGUAGCAAUACAAGUGGCGCACGGCGCACGGGUGCGUAACACGUGGGUAACCUGCCCUUUGGUGGGGAAUAACCUCGCGAAAGCGAGGCUAAUUCCGCAUAAGAUCCGCAAGGAUGAAAGCCGAAAGGCGCCGAAGGAGGGGCCCGCGCACGAUUAGCUAGUUGGUAGGGUAACGGCCUACCAAGGCUAUGAUCGUUAGCUGGUCUGAGAGGAUGGCCAGCCACACUGGAACUGAGACACGGUCCAGACUCCUACGGGAGGCAGCAGUGGGGAAUCUUGCGCAAUGGGCGAAAGCCUGACGCAGCGACGCCGCGUGGGGGAUGAAGCUUCUCGGAGUGUAAACCCCUUUCGACUGGGAAGAAUACCUCGCAAGAGGGGUGACGGUACCAGUAGAAGAAGCCCCGGCUAACUACGUGCCAGCAGCCGCGGUAAGACGUAGGGGGCCAGCGUUGUUCGGAAUUACUGGGUGUAAAGGGUCAGUAGGCGGUGUGGCAAGUCGGGAGUGAAAUCUAUGGGCUUAACCCAUAGGCUGCUUCCGAAACUGCCAUGCUUGAGUGUGGGAGAGGCGCGUGGAAUUGCAGGUGUAGCGGUGGAAUGCGUAGAUAUCUGCAGGAACACCCGUGGCGAAAGCGGCGCGCUGGACCACAACUGACGCUGAAUGACGAAAGCUAGGGGAGCAAACAGGAUUAGAUACCCUGGUAGUCCUAGCCCUAAACGAUCAGGACUUGGGGUGCCACCCGUUCGGGUGUCGUCCCGGAGCUAACGCGUUAAGUCCUGCACCUGGGGAGUACGGUCGCAAGACUGAAACUCAAAGGAUUUGACGGGGGCCCGCACAAGCGGUGGAACAUGUGGUUCAAUUCGACGCUACGCGAGGAACCUUACCUGGGCUCG
rnacentral:rRNA from 1 species